rnacentral:rRNA from 1 species
UACGUAGGUGGCAAGCGUUAUCCGGAUUUAUUGGGUGUAAAGGGCGUGUAGGCGGGAAAGCAAGUCAGAUGUGAAAACUCAGGGCUCAACCCUGAGCCUGCAUUUGAAACUGUUUUUCUUGAGUGCUGGAGAGGCAACCGGAAUUCCGUGUGUAGCGGUGAAAUGCGUAGAUAUACGGAGGAACACCAGUGGCGAAGGCGGAUUGCUGGACAGUAACUGACGCUGAGGCGCGAAAGCGUGGGGAGCAAACAGG